rnacentral:lncRNA from 1 species
GAAGCACUAAACGUCUGGAAGAACAUUGCUGGGAAAGGUGAAUCUGGAACAUCAGUCGACCAGAAAGAUGUGGCAUCUGAGCAAUGUAUGUUGGAAACAAAUGGAGAAACCGAUCCGGUGAUGCAAGGCUCUUCAGAUGACUUGAGCAGUAACUCGGAUUCCAUUUCGAAAGCGGUUCUCAUCUUGAGGAAGAAAGCACCUAGGUUGACUGGCAAAGAUCUUAACCCAGAGUUUUUCCAAAAACUGGAGAAAGGAGGUUCAAUAUCUUGGCAAGAUCCUCGGACUAAAGAAUGUGAUAUGGAACUCCAAAAGAUAAUACAUCUUCAAAAGCUAGCUAAUCAAUUGCCAGAUUCAUUUGAUGACCCAAAUAGAGUGACAAAGUCAUACAUACCGGCUUGUAAUACACCAAUAAGAAUAGACGUCUAGAAGGGACAAGGUCAAGUGGCUACAGAGUCUAAACAACGUCUCAAACGUUGUAGACCUAUUGGUUCCAAAGAUAAACAGCCUCGGAAGUCCAAGAAAGGUGCUGGAUCCGAGAGCAUCAAGGAAACUGUCCAGAACAUUGAUGGACCGGCCGAGCCGACCAGAACGGUUGAGCCAAGUGAGCCGGCCACACCAACUGAUCCGACCGUUCCAAAUGAUGGGGUUCGGGACGCCGAACUUCAUGGGACACAAGGGACGGACAAUCAAGAGAUCUCUAUAAAUUAUAUAAUGUCUAGAACGAAAUGAAACAUUGUUUGCUUUGUCUUGCAGAUAAAGCCUGUUAGAGAGAGCUUGUCCGAAGCACUAAACGUCUGGAAGAACAUUGCUGGGAAAGGUGAAUCUGGAACAUCAGUCGACCAGAAAGAUGUGGCAUCUGAGCAAUGUAUGUUGGAAACAAAUGGAGAAACCGAUCCGGUGAUGCAAGGCUCUUCAGAUGACUUGAGCAGUAACUCGGAUUCCAUUUCGAAAGCGGUUCUCAUCUUGAGGAAGAAAGCACCUAGGUUGACUGGCAAAGAUCUUAACCCAGAGUUUUUCCAAAAACUGGAGAAAGGAGGUUCUGGAG